rnacentral:rRNA from 1 species
GACGUAGGAGGCGAGCGUUGUCCGGAUUCAUUGGGCGUAAAGAGCACGCAGGCGGUUUGGCAAGUCGGAUGUGAAAACCCGAAGCUCAACUUCGGGCCUGCAUCCGAAACUGCCCGACUAGAGGUAGGUAGGGGAGAUCGGAAUUCCUGGUGUAGCGGUGAAAUGCGCAGAUAUCAGGAGGAACACCGGUGGCGAAGGCGGAUCUCUGGGCCUUACCUGACGCUCAGGUGCGAAAGCGUGGGGAGCGAACAGGA